rfam:Actinomyces denticolens strain PA genome assembly, contig: Ga0104373_109
CGAGCCGACCGGGCGGCCGCGGUACCCCAUGGGAGUCCAUGCACUCCCUGCGGGAUCGAGGAACGUCCGGGCUCCACAGAGCAGGGCGGUUGCCAACAGCAACCCGGGGUGACCCGCGGGACAGUGCCACAGAGAGAAGACCGCCGCCAGACCACUGGCGGUCAGGGUGAAAGGGUGGGGUAAGAGCCCACCAGCGCGCCGGGCGACCGGCGCGGCUCGGCAAACCCCGCCCGGAGCAAGACCGCGCAGCAGGCGCUCGAGGGCUGCUCGCCCGAGCCUGCGGGUAGGUCGCGCGAGGCCGUCGGCGACGGCGGUCCAAGAUGGAUGGUCGCCACCGCCCAGGCCGGCGACGGCGGGCGGCAACAGAACCCGGCGUACAGGUCGACUCGUCCG